UUCCGGCGGGCGGGACGCGGAAGUGGAGGCCUGUGGCCUGAGGGGCGUUGACCGGCCGCCGGGCCGGAGCGCGCUGGGCCUAGGGCCCGGGACCUGAGGUACCUUCGCGGAGCGCGAGGAGCGCGGGGCGGCGGAGGCUUCCGAGGAAAGGCCACGCGCGACGGCGGACCCGCGCCUCCCGCCCCGAGGCCGGCAUCCCUGGCCGGACCCGAGGGGCCUGGCGCUUGGGUAGGGCCGUCCGCGGGCUGCUCGCGGGCCGCUUGCAGUUACCUCCGGGAUCCUUUUGGGCCACCGAGGCGCCGGGAGGAAAGGGUUCUGGGGACGGUGCCCUCAGCUUCCAGCCCCAUCAGUUACAGCUUUACCAUAUUCGCUGUCAGAUGCGGGGAGCGAUGCACUCGGGCUCCUGGCCCCUGAGCCACGCCGAGGAGUCGUCAGGAGCAUCUCGGGACGAGGAAGCCUCCAGCAUCAGCAUCGGGUGCAAGGACAACAGCCUUACAGAUUCUGCUUAACCUGCUCCUGCGAUUGCCUAAGGUCCAGACUCUGUAACAGAACACACCCAUCUAGGGAUUCUGCUUCUCUGAUGGAACCUUAGCUGAUACGCAGAAGUGGACAGCCCAGUGUUGGAAUGGAGGACGCACCUUGUCUUUCAGUUCAGCCAUCCUUGCCACAAGCGCUUCCAUCCUCAGGAUCACAAGAGAAAUGCAUUAUAAGUAGCCAUGGAAACACCACAUUAGUAGGACUAUCCUGCAAAGAGGAGAACAUUACACAUUUUUGCGUUAUCAACUCUCAGAAGCCUGCUAUGCCCAGUGUUUUAACUUCAUCAUUUAUCUGGAAAAUGUUCUGAAGAUGGACACUUGGGCUUCUACCACCUUUUGGGUAUUGUGAAUAAUACUGCUACGAACAUGGGUGUACAAACCUCUCUCCAAGUCCCUGUUUUCAGUUCUUCUGGGCACAGAUAUAUACCUAAAAGUGGAGUUCCUGG